ensembl:lncRNA
CCAAAAGUAAGAUGAUUAGUAUUCACUGUCUACCUCUCCUCAAUUCACCUCCAGGGUGCGUGCAUCAUUGAAAUCCUCAGGGAAGGGGCCACAGGAAGUCAAAUUAUGACAUCGCCCGUGACCCAUAAAUCGAUAGAAGUCAACCAUCUGGAAGGACAUAUCAAUUCUCUAAUUGCACCACGAGGAAUAAGGAGUGAGGAAGCUUCCAGAAAAGCUAGGCGUGAGGAUACACAGGUGGAAGUGUUUCUUGUCAAAAAACCUGAUGCACAUAUAAAUUCCCCUCCUCCUUUACAUCUGCCACAAUCUCAAACAAAAGGUCCCUUGAUGAUGUGAUGGAG